rnacentral:lncRNA from 1 species
AGGGGGCAAAUGUGGGCCCAAGUGCAAAAUUAGGGUUCACAUGACCUAAUUGAAUUAAAUGCACAAUUAGGGUUCCACGACCUCAUUAAAUGUGCAAAUUAGGGUUCGUAUAACCUAAUGGAAUGAAGAUGGAAAAGUCAGAAAUAAAUGUGCUAGACCCGGGAUAAGCCUCCACGUGUCCCGAGGCAGAAGACUCGUGGAGGCGGCUCGUUUUGGGAAUUGAUUGAGGGAUUGGAUUGGUG